rnacentral:rRNA from 1 species
GUAUCAGAAGUGCGAAUGCUGACAUAAGUAACGAUAAAGCGGGUGAAAAGCCCGCUCGCCGGAAGACCAAGGGUUCCUGUCCAACGUUAAUCGGGGCAGGGUGAGUCGACCCCUAAGGCGAGGCCGAAAGGCGUAGUCGAUGGGAAACAGGUUAAUAUUCCUGUACUUGGUGUUACUGCGAAGGGGGGACGGAGAAGGCUAUGUUGGCCGGGCGACGGUUGUCCCGGUUUAAGCGUGUAGGCUGGUUUUCCAGGCAAAUCCGGAAAAUCAAGGCUGAGGCGUGAUGACGAGGCACUACGGUGCUGAAGCAACAAAUGCCCUGCUUCCAGGAAAAGCCUCUAAGCAUCAGGUAACAUCAAAUCGUACCCCAAACCGACACAGGUGGUCAGGUAGAGAAUACCAAGGCGCUUGAGAGAACUCGGGUGAAGGAACUAGGCAAAAUGGUGCCGUAACUUCGGGAGAAGGCACGCUGAUAUGUAGGUGAAGUCCCUCGCGGAUGGAGCUGAAAUCAGUCGAAGAUACCAGCUGGCUGCAACUGUUUAUUAAAAACACAGCACUGUGCAAACACGAAAGUGGACGUAUACGGUGUGACGCCUGCCCGGUGCCGGAAGGUUAAUUGAUGGGGUCAGCGCAAGCGAAGCUCUUGAUCGAAGCCCCGGUAAACGGCGGCCGUAACUAUAACGGUCCUAAGGUAGCGAAAUUCCUUGUCGGGUAAGUUCCGACCUGCACGAAUGGCGUAAUGAUGGCCAGGCUGUCUCCACCCGAGACUCAGUGAAAUUGAACUCGCUGUGAAGAUGCAGUGUACCCGCGGCAAGACGGAAAGACCCCGUGAACCUUUACUAUAGCUUGACACUGAACAUUGAGCCUUGAUGUGUAGGAUAGGUGGGAGGCUUUGAAGUGUGGACGCCAGUCUGCAUGGAGCCGGCCUUGAAAUACCACCCUUUAAUGUUUGAUGUUCUAACGUUGACCCGUUAUCCGGGUUGCGGACAGUGUCUGGUGGGUAGUUUGACUGGGGCGGUCUCCUCCUAAAGAGUAACGGAGGAGCACGAAGGUUGGCUAAUCCUGGUCGGACAUCAGGAGGUUAGUGCAAUGGCAUAAGCCAGCUUGACUGCGAGCGUGACGGCGCGAGCAGGUGCGAAAGCAGGUCAUAGUGAUCCGGUGGUUCUGAAUGGAAGGGCCAUCGCUCAACGG